AGAGUUUGAUCCUGGCUCAGGAUGAACGCUAGCGGCAGGCCUAACACAUGCAAGUCGAGGGGUAACAUGGAGUGCUUGCACUUUGAUGACGACCGGCGCACGGGUGCGCACCGCGUAUGGAACCUACCUUCCGCAGGGGAAUAGCCCAGGGAAACUUGGAUUAAUGCCCCGUGGUACCCUGGCACCGCAUGGUGCCUUGGUUAAAGCCUUCGGGCGGCGGGAGAUGGCCAUGCGUCCCAUUAGCUUGAUGGUAGGGUAACGGCCUACCAUGGCCACGAUGGGUAGGGGCCCUGAGAGGGGGAUCCCCCACACUGGUACUGAGACACGGACCAGACUCCUACGGGAGGCAGCAGUGAGGAAUAUUGGACAAUGGGCGGGAGCCUGAUCCAGCCAUGCCGCGUGCAGGAAGACGGCCCUAUGGGUUGUAAACUGCUUUUAUACGGGAAGAAAAACAGCUACGUGUAGUUGACUGACGGUACCGUAGGAAUAAGGACCGGCUAACUCCGUGCCAGCAGCCGCGGUAAUACGGAGGGUCCGAGCGUUAUCCGGAAUUAUUGGGUUUAAAGGGUCCGUAGGCGGGCCGUUAAGUCAGGGGUGAAAGUCUGCAGCUCAACUGUAGAAUUGCCUUUGAUACUGGUGGUCUUGAGUUGUGGUGAAGUGGCUGGAAUAUGUAGUGUAGCGGUGAAAUGCAUAGAUAUUACAUAGAACACCGAUUGCGAAGGCAGGUCACUAACCAUAUACUGACGCUGAUGGACGAAAGCGUGGGGAGCGAACAGGAUUAGAUACCCUGGUAGUCCACGCCGUAAACGAUGGAUACUAGCUGUCCGGCACCUUGUGUGCUGGGCGGCCAAGCGAAAGUGAUAAGUAUCCCACCUGGGGAGUACGUUCGCAAGAAUGAAACUCAAAGGAAUUGACGGGGGCCCGCACAAGCGGUGGAGCAUGUGGUUUCGGGCAAUUUGCAAGGUGCUGCAUGGUUGUCGUCAGCUCGUGCCGUGAGGUGUCAGGUUAAGUCCUAUAACGAGCGCAACCCCUACCGUUAGUUGCCAGCGAGUCAAGUCGGGGACUCUAACGGGACUGCCGGUGCAAACCGUGAGGAAGGUGGGGAUGACGUCAAAUCAUCACGGCCCUUACGUCCUGGGCCACACACGUGCUACAAUGGCCGGUACAGAGAGCUGCCAUGCCGCAAGGCAGAGCGAAUCUAGAAAACCGGUCACAGUUCGGAUCGGGGUCUGCAACUCGACCCCGUGAAGCUGGAAUCGCUAGUAAUCGGAUAUCAGCCAUGAUCCGGUGAAUACGUUCCCGGGCCUUGUACACACCGCCCGUCAAGCCAUGGAAGCCGGGAGUGCCUGAAGUCCGUCACCGCAAGGAGCGGCCUAGGGCAAGAUCGGUAACUAGGGCUAAGUCGUAACAAGGUAGCCGUACCGGAAGGUGCGGCUG
rnacentral:rRNA from 1 species